rnacentral:lncRNA from 1 species
CUCAAAGUGAUUGUCCCCUUACUUCACAGAGAACUCCCUGAACACACAAAGAACUCCCAUGACCUCCAAGAAACCUCCAGUGACAUUAUAGAGAACCCCCUCUGACCUCACCGAGACCUGAUAUCACAGAGGCCAACCAUUACCUCAACAAGACCCCCUACAACACAGUGAGAACUCCACUAAUUUCAUGGAAACCUCAAGUGACUCUCACCAGAUCUAGGAUCUCAGGGAAAUGAAGAGAGGAUGGUGGGUGCACCCGCCCCUCCCCAACUGACUGACAAAUCCCAUGGGUCCUCUUGACUGUUAGCACUCCGGAAGCCCCGCUCCAUGGAGGGAAAACCCUUCUUUCUAUCUACGCCUGCACGGCAAAGAGCUGCCACCCUGUUAAUGGGAAAAAGCCACUUGAAUUUUGAACUGUGUUUUAAGAACCAUACAUAUUCCUCAAGUCAAGGACAGGAUCUCAAUGAACAACUAAGUGAGCAUUGAAGAAAACCUUGUAACUCCUUGAGCAGAGCAGGAGGAACACCGUGACACCAAGCCGAAAGCAUUGAGGAACUCGUUGUGGACGUGCACGAGCAAGCUCACAGAGUAAAGAUUCCCAGUGUUUUCAACAACAAGGGAGGAAUUAAAUGUUUCUAGUUAAUCCAGAAUAACCUAA